rnacentral:rRNA from 1 species
GAUGAACGCUGGCGGCGUGCUUAACACAUGCAAGUCGAACGAAGCACCUUAUUCUGAUUUCUUCGGAACGAAAAAUUUGGUGACUGAGUGGCGGACGGGUGAGUAACGCGUGGGUAACCUGCCUCAUACAGGGGGAUAACAGUUAGAAAUGACUGCUAAUACCGCAUAAGACCACAGCACCGCAUGGUGCAGGGGUAAAAACUCCGGUGGUAUGAGAUGGACCCGCGUCUGAUUAGGUAGUUGGUGGGGUAACGGCCUACCAAGCCGACGAUCAGUAGCCGACCUGAGAGGGUGACCGGCCACAUUGGGAUUGAGACACGGCCCAAACUCCUACGGGAGGCAGCAGUGGGGAAUAUUGCACAAUGGGGGAAACCCUGAUGCAGCGACGCCGCGUGAGCGAUGAAGUAUUUCGGUAUGUAAAGCUCUAUCAGCAGGGAAGAAAAUGACGGUACCUGACUAAGAAGCACCGGCUAAAUACGUGCCAGCAGCCGCGGUAA